CUGGUUGAUCCUGCCAGUAGUCAUAUGCUUGUCUCAAAGAUUAAGCCAUGCAUGUCUAAGUAUAAGCACUUGUACUGUGAAACUGCGAAUGGCUCAUUAAAUCAGUUAUCGUUUAUUUGAUUGUACCUUUACUACUUGGAUAACCGUGGUAAUUCUAGAGCUAAUACAUGCGAAAAGUCCCGACUUCUCGAAGGGAUGUAUUUAUUAGAUUCAAAACCAAUGCGGGUUCUGCCCGGUCAUUUGGUGAUUCAUAGUAACUGUUCGAAUCGCAGGGCCUCGCGCCGGCGAUGUUUCAUUCAAAUUUCUGCCCUAUCAACUGUCGAUGGUAAGGUGUUGGCUUACCAUGGUUACAACGGGUGACGGAGAAUUAGGGUUCGAUUCCGGAGAGGGAGCCUGAGAAACGGCUACCACAUCCAAGGAAGGCAGCAGGCGCGCAAAUUACCCAAUCCUGACUCAGGGAGGUAGUGACAAGAAAUAACAAUACAGGGCUUUUCU
rnacentral:rRNA from 1 species